AUUUUUGUACCAUAAAGCUACUUUCACACUUGCGGCAGCAGGGUCCGGCAGGGGAACAGCCUGCCGGAUCCAUGUUAACGUUAGCCCACCAUGCCUCUGGAAGUCCACUCCGACCUCAUUCACUAUAAUAAGGGCCAGAGGUCCGGCCGCAACAUG